GAUGAACGCUGGCGGCGUGCCUAAUACAUGCAAGUCGAGCGAACGGACGAGAAGCUUGCUUCUCUGAUGUUAGCGGCGGACGGGUGAGUAACACGUGGAUAACCUACCUAUAAGACUGGGAUAACUUCGGGAAACCGGAGCUAAUACCGGAUAAUAUUUUGAACCGCAUGGUUCAAAAGUGAAAGACGGUCUUGCUGUCACUUAUAGAUGGAUCCGCGCUGCAUUAGCUAGUUGGUAAGGUAACGGCUUACCAAGGCAACGAUGCAUAGCCGACCUGAGAGGGUGAUCGGCCACACUGGAACUGAGACACGGUCCAGACUCCUACGGGAGGCAGCAGUAGGGAAUCUUCCGCAAUGGGCGAAAGCCUGACGGAGCAACGCCGCGUGAGUGAUGAAGGUCUUCGGAUCGUAAAACUCUGUUAUUAGGGAAGAACAUAUGUGUAAGUAACUGUGCACAUCUUGACGGUACCUAAUCAGAAAGCCACGGCUAACUACGUGCCAGCAGCCGCGGUAAUACGUAGGUGGCAAGCGUUAUCCGGAAUUAUUGGGCGUAAAGCGCGCGUAGGCGGUUUUUUAAGUCUAAUGUGAAAGCCCACGGCUCAACCGUGGAGGGUCAUUGGAAACUGGAAAACUUGAGUGCAGAAGAGGAAAGUGGAAUUCCAUGUGUAGCGGUGAAAUGCGCAGAGAUAUGGAGGAACACCAGUGGCGAAGGCGACUUUCUGGUCUGUAACUGACGCUGAUGUGCGAAAGCGUGGGGAUCAAACAGGAUUAGAUACCCUGGUAGUCCACGCCGUAAACGAUGAGUGCUAAGUGUUAGGGGGUUUCCGCCCCUUAGUGCUGCAGCUAACGCAUUAAGCACUCCGCCUGGGGAGUACGACCGCAAGGUUGAAACUCAAAGGAAUUGACGGGGACCCGUACAAGCGGUGGAGCAUGUGGUUUAAUUCGAAGCAACGCGAAGAACCUUACCAAAUCUUGACAUCCUUUGACAACUCUAGAGAUAGAGCCUUCCCCUUCGGGGGACAAAGUGACAGGUGGUGCAUGGUUGUCGUCAGCUCGUGUCGUGAGAUGUUGGGUUAAGUCCCGCAACGAGCGCAACCCUUAAGCUUAGUUGCCAUCAUUAAGUUGGGCACUCUAAGUUGACUGCCGGUGACAAACCGGAGGAAGGUGGGGAUGACGUCAAAUCAUCAUGCCCCUUAUGAUUUGGGCUACACACGUGCUACAAUGGACAAUACAAAGGGCAGCGAAACCGCGAGGUCAAGCAAAUCCCAUAAAGUUGUUCUCAGUUCGGAUUGUAGUCUGCAACUCGACUACAUGAAGCCGGAAUCGCUAGUAAUCGUAGAUCAGCAUGCUACGGUGAAUACGUUCCCGGGUCU
rnacentral:rRNA from 1 species